rnacentral:rRNA from 1 species
UAGAGUUUGAUCCUGGCUCAGAUUGAACGCUGGCGGCAUGCUUUACACAUGCAAGUCGAACGGCAGCGCGGGGCAACCUGGCGGCGAGUGGCGAACGGGUGAGUAAUAUAUCGGAACGUACCCAGAAGUGGGGGAUAACGUAGCGAAAGUUACGCUAAUACCGCAUACGAUCUACGGAUGAAAGUGGGGGACCUUCGGGCCUCAUGCUUUUGGAGCGGCCGAUAUCUGAUUAGCUAGUUGGUGAGGUAAAGGCUCACCAAGGCGACGAUCAGUAGCUGGUCUGAGAGGACGACCAGCCACACUGGGACUGAGACACGGCCCAGACUCCUACGGGAGGCAGCAGUGGGGAAUUUUGGACAAUGGGCGCAAGCCUGAUCCAGCAAUGCCGCGUGAGUGAAGAAGGCCUUCGGGUUGUAAAGCUCUUUUGUCAGGGAAGAAACGGCUCAGGCUAAUAUCCUGGGCUAAUGACGGUACCUGAAGAAUAAGCACCGGCUAACUACGUGCCAGCAGCCGCGGUAAUACGUAGGGUGCAAGCGUUAAUCGGAAUUACUGGGCGUAAAGCGUGCGCAGGCGGUUUUGUAAGUCUGUCGUGAAAGCCCCGGGCUUAACCUGGGAAUUGCGAUGGAGACUGCAAGGCUUGAAUCUGGCAGAGGGGGGUAGAAUUCCACGUGUAGCAGUGAAAU